CCUCCAGCUGUUUUGGGACUACAAUUCCCACCAUCCCUGACCACUGGGUCCUGUUAGCUAGGGAUGAUGGGAGUUGUAGUCCCAAAACAGCUGGAGG